rnacentral:rRNA from 1 species
CGGAGGGAUCAUUACUGAGUUUACGCUCUAUAACCCUUUGUGAACAUACCUAUAACUGUUGCUUCGGCGGGUAGGGUCUCCGUGACCCUCCCGGCCUCCCGCCCCCGGGCGGGUCGGCGCCCGCCGGAGGGUAACCAAACUCUGAUUUAACGACGUUUCUUCUGAGUGGUACAAGCAAAUAAUCAAAACUUUUAACAACGGAUCUCUUGGUUCUGGCAUCGAUGAAGAACGCAGCGAAAUGCGAUAAGUAAUGUGAAUUGCAGAAUUCAGUGAAUCAUCGAAUCUUUGAACGCACAUUGCGCCCGCCAGCAUUCUGGCGGGCAUGCCUGUUCGAGCGUCAUUUCAACCCUCAAGCUCUGCUUGGUGUUGGGGCCCUACAGCUGAUGUAGGCCCUCAAAGGUAGUGGCGGACCCUCCCGGAGCCUCCUUUGCGUAGUAACUUUACGUCUCGCACUGGGAUCCGGAGGGACUCUUGCCGUAAAACCCCCAACUUUCCAAAGGUUGACCUCGGAUCAGGUAGGAAUACCCGCUGAACUUAAGCAUAU